rnacentral:rRNA from 1 species
GGUUUCUUGAAUUAAAUAGGAGAUUUGGCCUGCCCACUGAAAUUAAGAUUGAAGGGCCGCGGUAUUUUGACUGUGCAAAGGUAGCAUAAUCAUUAGUCUUUUAAUUGGAGGCUUGUAUGAAUGGUUGGACGAAGCAAAGACUGUCUUGAGUUUAUUAAAGUUGAAUUUAAAUUUUAAGUGAAAAUGCUUAAAUAAAAUAAAGGGACGAGAAGACCCUAUAGAGUUUAAUAAAUAGGUGUAAUAAUUAAGUUAAGAAGAAAUUUUUUUAAUUGUUAAUUGAUUUAUUGGGUUGGGGUGAUUAGAAAAUAUGAUAAACUUUUCUUUAUUUUUAAUUUUUUAAGAAAUAUUAAGAUCCAUAAAUAGUGAUUAGAAGAGUAAAUUACCUUAGGGAUAACAGCAUAAUUUUUUUUGAAAGUUCAUAUUGAAAGAAAAGAUUAUGACCUCGAUGUUGGAUUAAGAUAAACAUUGGGCGCAGAAGUUUAUAUGUAAG